ACCAGCCCCGUGACUUGUAGGAAGGCAGCGGGGGAGGGGCCGAGGGAGGAUGAGCAGGGCAGGCGGGAGAGGCUGGGGCUGGGGUCGGGGCCCAGGAAUUGAGCAGGGAAGUAGGCAGAGGUGCAGCAAGUGGUGGGCGCAGCCUGGAUCUGGGGCUGGAGGGUGCAGACAGGCCUGGGGGGAAGGGGUCCCCGGGUGGGGAUGGAGUGGGCUUAGCGCAACUGGGGCCCUCCAUCUGGUCUCUUCUGGUCACACCCCCACCCCUCAGCCUGCACUUUCUCCCUAAACCCCCAGUCGCCAGCCAGGCCUUUCCCUGUUCCCACACCCCCGCAGACAGGCACACCUGGGUCCCCCUGGAGGUCCAAGGCGAGCCCCAUAGCUGGGCCCGCCUGAUCCAGCACCCGCAAGCCCGGCCCCAUCAGCUAGGUGGCCUCCAGCCCUGCCAAUCGAAUGGUCCGGCCCCUCCCCGCCCCUUCGCCCGCCCCUUGCCCAGCCCCCUCCUCCUCAGGUGAGGCAGCCUGGCCUAGCAGGCCCCACGCCACCGGUUCUGCCUCCAGGCCACCCGCUGCUGCGGGGCCACCAUGCUCCUGCCCAGGCCUGGAGACUGACCCGACCCCGGAACCACCUCCAGGCUCCGCCCUCACCUGCCGGACCCCCGGGAGGUCAGCCAGGGAAUCAUUAACAAGAGGCGGUGACAUGGCGCAGAAGGAGGGUGGCCGGACUGUGCCGUGCUGCUCCGGACCCAAGGUGGCAGCUCUCACUGCAGGGACCCUGCUACUUCUGACAGCCAUCGGGGCGGCAUCCUGGGCCAUUGGUGAGAGCGGUUCCUGUGUUUCUGACCUCCCCUGGCCCCUGCAGCCUCCAGCCUGCCUGCCCUCACCCCUCCCUUCUCUGCAGUGGCUG
rnacentral:lncRNA from 1 species